UGAGAACAAUCACACUCUAAACCUUACUGGGCUGCCAUCUGCCCUCGCUGGCCUAAGUCUGCAGCCAGGACCCACGCAAAGCACUUGGCCACCCUGAAGAGCAAGGAGAAGGGAAGCAGAUCCCUACCCUACAGCCAAGAGGAAACCGGACACGUCUGAGAGGCAGGACCUAGGAACAGGGCAGCAGAAGCUGGUUGGCUGAAUGCCUCUGGAAGUGAUCAGUGGUGCGCAUGCGCAGAUGGACCUCCAAAGGUGCACGGAAAUUCUCUGCUGUGGUGGCCAAGAUCAAGAGAUACCCAUUUCUCCAGCCUUCUUCAAGACUAGAUCAGCUCCCUCUGGUCUCUCCCUCCAUGUGGGCCACCGAGGAGAGGACCACAGGCUCUGAUGCAACCAAUGCUCCUCUGGAUUAGGCCAAGAAACUUCCCAAACCAUAAAGAUGUCCAAACAUUGGCCCAGCUUCUCCCAAACAGACAUAAACUGCCUCAAUCACAUCCGGGCCCACCACACCCCCUCCCCUAGGCUUCAGGGACCAUCUGGCAUCUCCACCCUCAGGCAGCCCAUAGCUACAUGGUGGUGGGAAGCAGGACCAGGAAAGAGGGCCACCACCACGCCCGGCCCAGCCCCUGCGGCUGAGGCUGGGCCUUUGAUGGUGCCUACCCUCACCCAUUGCUGCGCAGACAGCCGGCUUGCUAGCUGAUGCCAAGUUGCCCCGAAUCCAGUUAUUUUUAGCCUGUUUGUGUAUCCCAUUUCAAGCUAACUCUGUCACCACUUGCUAUCAUAACAGACAGCACCUGGACGCCUCUCCGAAGAGCAACAAAUACACUUUGGAGAGUGCCGGGGAUUGCCAGGAGCGCCAACUACACUUCCAGCCUGACACCCAGCUGCAACAAAGCAGAUUCCUUUCUUUCCUUUGCUCGAAAAGCCUAAUCCAGAUAAGCCGGCCGACAAUGGCUGCCUGGCCUCGAAAGACUUCCCUUUCCAGGGUGAUGGGGCUCACACCUGGUGACAUCAGCCUGG
rnacentral:lncRNA from 1 species